UCCAGACAGUAUAUACAGUUGUAAACCACCAAGGAGACCAGACAGUAUAUAUAGUUGUAAACCAAUAUUAGGAAGACUAGACAGUAUCUACAGUUUUAUACCAGCACUAGGGAGACCUGACUAUAUAUAUAGUUGUAUACCAGCAUUAGGGAGACCCGACAGUAUAUAUGGUUGUAUUCCAGCAUUAGGCAGACCAGACUGUAUGUAUUAUUGAAUACCAGCAUCAGGGAGACCAGACUGUAUAUAUAGUUGUAUACCAGUAUUAGGG